rnacentral:rRNA from 1 species
CAGUAGCCACGGUAAUACAGAGGGUGCAAGCGUUAAUCGGAAUUACUGGGCGUAAAGCGCGCGUAGGUGGUUUGUUAAGUUGGAUGUGAAAUCCCCGGGCUCAACCUGGGAACUGCAUCCAAAACUGGCAAGCUAGAGUAUGGUAGAGGGUGGUGGAAUUUCCUGUGUAGCGGUGAAAUGCGUAGAUAUAGGAAGGAACACCAGUGGCGAAGGCGACCACCUGGACUGAUACUGACACUGAGGUGCGAAAGCGUGGGGAGCAAACAGGAUUAGAUACCCCCGUAGUCCCUGUCUCUUAUAC